AUGAAGGCUCCACACCUUCCCUUUUCAUGCAAAUUUAAUGAUAAUAAAACCUUAGCUUCUUAUGCUAAUGGUAUAUAUGAUUACUAUGAUGUGGAACAAAUAGAAGAAUUUGUUGCUUUUGUGGGUGCUUAUGAAAUUGAAUCUAUGUUUAAAGAGUUUGACGAUUUUGAUGAUGCUGUUUAUAGACCUGAAAAUUUAGCUAUCCUCAAAUAUUGCUAUGAGAAUUAUGAAUACAAUUCCGAUAUUAAUGCACUUAUUGAGAAAGUCUCCGCUGUCCAAGAAGAGACUAAUAUUUUGCAGGAAUCUAUGGAAGAAGAAAUUGAUGAAACUGUGAGCUCAUUAGAUGAAAAAGAUGAGGAGGAGAGCGGAGAACAAAAGGAGGAAGAGCGGAUUAGCUACCCGUGCCCACCUUCUAAUGAGAGUAACCCUCCAACUUAUACAUUGUUUAAUUUCCCUUCGUGCUUACCGAAGGAUGAUUGUUAUGAUCCCGUUGAUUCUCUUGAAAUAUCCCUUUUUGAUGAUGCUUGCUAUGCUUGUGGCCAAGAUGCCAAUAUGAAUUAUGCUUAUGGAGAUGAACUUGCUAUAGUUCCUUAUGUUAUGAAUGAAAUUGUUGCUAUUGCACCCACGCAUGAUAGUCCUAUUAUCUUUUUGAAUUCUCCCAACUACACUAUAUUGGAGAAGUUUACCCUUAUUAAGGAUUAUAUUGAUGGGUUGCCUUAUACCGUUGCACAUGAUGAUUUUGAUGAAUAUAAUAUGCAUGUGCUUGCUGCUCCUACUUGCAAUUAUUAUGAGAGAGGAACUAUAUCUCCACCUCUCUAUGUUUCCAACACGAUAAAAUUGCAAGAAACUGUUUAUACUAUGCAUUGGCCUUUACUUUGUGUGCAUGAAUUGUUCUUUUAUGACAUGCCGAUGCAUAGGAAGAGAGUUAGACUUCGUCAUUACAUGAUAUAUGUUGCUUUGUGCUCACUACUAAAUUACAAAUCAUUGCUAAUUAAAAUUGGCUUUGAUAUACCUUGGGAUCCGGGUGGAUUCAUUACUUGA
rnacentral:rRNA from 1 species